rnacentral:rRNA from 1 species
CGAAAAGAGAGAUUCAACGUCAGUUGAUAUUGUAUUCACGUGAGUAGUGAUGUGAGUUUUUGGUGUUUGGGUCAAACCUUUCAUUCAAUACUUGCACAUUUUCAUGUUAUUUUAUUGCAAUAUUUGACCGGCGUGCACUUCUCUCUUAGUAGGACGUCCCGACCCGUUGAAUCUUGGCCUACGGCACAGAUGGUAGCCUUUAAUGUUUCGACAUUAAAGACCUCUGAUGUUCUCCUGGCUAUAGUAUUCGACGGUAGUUUAUGACGUGGUGUUGAGCCGCAUUUUUAAUGCGUCCGGCCAAUCGCAAGUUUUUUGAUGUAUUCCGUAUUAUCAUAGACUGAGCGCUAUGUAUAUGGUUAUGUCGCUUUGCAUGAUUGUGCUUUAGGACCGGCUUAUUCAUCUGUCUGGGACGCUUAGGCUUUGGGUACUCUCAAGACCCGUCUUGAAACACGGACCAAGGAGUCUAACAUGUNCGCGAGUCAUUGGGUAUAUAUUUUCCUUCGGGAUUUUAUAUAAAACAAACCUAAAGGCGUAAUGAAAGUAAAUGUUGAACCUAGUGUUUAGCUGAGGGAUGAUGAGUUAUUAAUUUAUCUCCGCAAUCCCGGGGCGUCUUAAUCUCAUUGCGAGAUGA